rnacentral:lncRNA from 11 species
UUAUCUCUGGAAUCCCGGGGAGAAGAAGGAGGACUGCAAUUAGCGCAGACCCGGCCAAGAGGAGGAGAGGGGGAGGGAAGAGGAGGGAGGCGUGGCUUCAGCCCUCGGGGGCGGGGCCUGUCGCUCCAGAGCUGGGCAGCAGGAGGGGGAAGGAAGGGGGGGCCUUUGGGUGAGUCAGGGUCUGCGCGCGCUGCCAAGGCUCGCUCUCGGGUUGCUCACGCGGAUUGCGUCACGCAAGGCGAGCAAAGGGGCGAGAGAGGAAAGAGGCGCCCUGGAGCCCCCCCUCUCUUCCCCGCCCCUUUCCUGCUGAGGCUUCGGGUGCUGAUGCAGCUCCUUGGGUGGGGCUUCCCGGCGGCUGGCUCACGCCCACGGGCUGGAGCCCAUGAGGCGGUGUUUCCCCUCGCGUUCUCCCUCCUCCUCCGCCUUUCCAAAGAGAAGCGAUCCCAUUUUCACUCUUGCCGUUCCCCUUUCCCUAUCCUCAGAAGAAUGAUGUGUGCGUAAUCUCCAUAGAUUUUAUCUAAUGAAUAAAAAGAAAGAGGAAGGAAAAUCUCAGCACAUUCUUCAACAGAUGGGACUCCAGUGAUGUCCACUUCAUAAGCCAGCCAAUACAAGUCAACAUGUACACACAGCAAGAUUUCAUUACUCUUUAGAGGGGACACCAUAAUAAAUGUGUAGCAGUUUCAAGAUACAAGAAGACUCUUUGCUACUUUUAGUACUCUGUGUGAAGCAAGCCCUAAUGGCUUUCCCACACUAUGGACUUGUUUGUACUUUCCAGAACUUUAAUGCAAACAUAAAACUCACUUUGGUUAUCUUUUGCUUCCUGUUUUGCACUUAAAAGCAAUCAAGAAGUUUAAUUUUGUACUUUGCAGAUUAAUUUCAGGUGAACAUGUGUGAAUCAAAUCAUGGUUUGAUGAGCCUUUUUGUCUACAGAGACUCUACAUUCUUUCUGAUAAUCAAUGUAGAUGCAUUUCUUUUGAAGUUCUCUAAGCAUUUCUAGAAAAAAGAACCCUUGGGGAAAUUAACAAGAUGCCAUUCUAAUGUUGACAUAAACUAACUGGAAGGCUAGAGGCAGUUUAUCUGAAUUGAGUAGGGCAGAGCAAUCUACACGCAUGCAAAAUUAUCACUCAAAUAGACUGUUUUAUAAUAUUGAAAAAAAUCACUGUGCUAGUCUGUAUACCAUAAAAAGGAAUCCAGCAGUAUCUUUGAGACUAAUUAGGUAAUGUUUUCCCUCUUAAGUGUCAGAAUCAGCGUCGUAUAGUGGUUUGAGUAUUGGACUAGGACUCGCGAGAUCAGGACCCAAAUCCUUUCUUGGUCAUGAAAACUCACUCAGUGGGAAAGUCACAUUCUCUCAGCCUCAGAGGAAGACAAUGGCAAACCUUCUCUAAACAAAUUUGGCCAUUAAUCCCCGGUAACAGGUUUGCUUAAAGUUGACAUAAGCCUACUAUCUGUAUAAGGCCAACAUGAUGUAGUAGUUUGCAUAUUGGACUGUGACUCGAGGUAACAAGUUAAAAUCCCACACUGUGUGACUUUGGGGGAAGUCACACUCUCUCAACCUCAGAUGAAGGCAAAGGCAGACCGCAUGUGAACAUAUCUUGCCACAAAAUCCACCAUAACCCAGAGCUUGAUGAAAUAUAGGAGUAACGCUUCCAGCAUUCCCACACUGGCUGGGUAUUCUGGAGGUUGUAGACCAAGCAGGAAGUUUUCAAGACUUGGUCAUUAUGAAUAUAGUAAAAGCUCCCCAAAACACUGAUAAUGUUUUAACUGUUUGAAUGUUGUGGGAGAGUUUUAGAACAUUAUUCUCAGUAGAAGUUUUAGUUGAAUUCAUAAAUACAUAAUGGUAGUCAUGAGGGCAGGUCACAACAAGUCAAGGCUAAGAAACAAUAAAGAUGAAAUCAAGUGGAACAUCUUCAGAGAGAAAACAGUUUACACACAGUUUCUGAUCAUUUUUCAUAAGAAUUAUACUGCCUUGGAACAUAACAAUAACAGUUAUUAUAGAUAGAAUCCAUUGUCCACUUCUCCCCCUUUAAAAACCACCUAAACUUGAUCAUCUUGCAAUUGUGUGAUUAUACCAUGCACUGUGUUUUCAUGUAUUUAAAAUUGACUGAUUUUUUAAAAUAGAAAAGUGAGUGCAUAAACAUCUCUCUGUCCAUCACAGUUACAAUUUCAUGAGAAAACUAUACUGUUUUUGGAAUAUAUAAAUGAAGGCUCAUUGUUCCUUUGAAACAGGGCCGCUUUCUCACUACACAGUAUGAUUCACUUUCACUGCCAUGCUUGCAUCCUAAGGAAACCUGCGAUUUGUAGCUAGGGGAAGUAUCUGACUGAAAAUUCUAAAUUCCCUACCUAAUCUGCAAAUCCCAGGAUUCCAUAGGAAUUCAAGGUGUAUACCAUCACAUAUAAAGCCCUAAACGGUUUGGGACCCACCUAUCUUCGUGACCGUAUCUCCUAUCACAAGCCUACACGAUCCCUUCGUUCAUCAGGGGAAGCUCUCCUGUCCCCACUCCCGAUAUCCCAGACCCGCCUUGUGGGAACAAGGGAGAGGGCUUUUUCUGCUGUGGCCCCCGAUUGUGGAAUUCUCUGCCCGCGGAGAUUAGGCAAGCCCCCACACUAGCAGCCUUCAAGAAAGACUUGAAAACAUGGCUCUUUUGCUGUGCUUUUUGAGAGUAACUAUUUUAUAUUUCUUUUCCGUUGCUCCCUCUAAUAUCUAACCUCCAGAAUACCUGUCAGGACCCAGGCUGCAGAACACCAAUAACCAUGCGCAGAGACCAGAAUCUAUCUAAUAUCUUUAUUAGGGAAAUAUAUAAAGUCAAUAAAAAUAAGUGUAGAAUAUAGUUCAGAAGUAGACCUUUCAGGAAAGGUCAAAUAUAGUCCAGGAAAACAAUGUCCAAUAUGUGAUAUUAAAGUCCAAAGUUAUAAUCCACUUCACCGAAACACACACUAUUUGGCAA